rnacentral:rRNA from 1 species
UACGUAGGGUGCAAGCGUUGUCCGGAAUUAUUGGGCGUAAAGAGCUCGUAGGCGGUCUGUCGCGUCUGCUGUGAAAACUCGGGGCUUAACCCCGGGCCUGCAGUGGGUACGGGCAGACUAGAGUGCGGUAGGGGGAGACUGGAAUUCCUGGUGUAGCGGUGAAAUGCGCAGAUAUCAGGAGGAACACCAAUGGCGAAGGCAGCUCGCUGGAACGGUACUGACGCUGAGGCGCGAAAGCGUGGGGAGCAAACAGG